AGGGGUAUGUGAAGCAAUUGAACGAAGCACCAGUAAUCGUCGUCCGUAACUAUACCGGUCCUAAGGUAGCGAAAUUCCUGGUAGGGUAAGUUCCGGCCUGCACGAAUGGCAUAAUGAUGGCGGCGCUGUCUCCAGCAGAGGCUCAUUGAAAUCGUAAUCGCUGUGAAGAUUCAGUGUGCCCGGGGCUAGACGGAAGUACCCCGUGAAACUUGUAUGCAGCUUGACACAGAUCUUUGACCUUACUUGUGUAGGAUAGGUGAGAGGCUUUUAAGCUGGAACGCUAGUUCCAGGGGAGCCGUCGUUGAAAUACCACCCUGGUAAUGUUGAGGUUCUAACUCUGUCC
rnacentral:rRNA from 1 species